rnacentral:rRNA from 1 species
AUCCGUGCCGGAGCUAACGCGUUAAAUAUGCCGCCUGGGGAGUACAGUCGCAAGGCUGAAACUCAAAGGAAUUGACGGGGGCCCGCACAAGCGGUGGAGCAUGUGGUUCAAUUCGACGCAACGCGAAGAACCUUACCUGGGCUCGAACGGCUUCCUAACGAUCGUGGAAACACGGUUAUCCCGCAAGGGAGUGGAGUCGAGGUGCUGCAUGGCUGUCGUCAGCUCGUGUCGUGAGAUGUUGGGUUAAGUCCCGCAACGAGCGCAACCCUUGUCCUGUGUUGCCAUGCCGAAAGGCGGAACUCGCAGGAGACCGCCAGCGAUAAGCUGGAGGAAGGUGGGGAUGACGUCAAGUCCUCAUGGCCUUUAUGUCCAGGGCUACACACGUGCUACAAUGGACGGUACAGAGCGUCGCUAACCCGCGAGGGGGAGCCAAUCGCAAAAAACCGUUCUCAGUUCGGAUUGCAGGCUGCAAUUCGCCUGCAUGAAGCUGGAAUCGCUAGUAAUGGCAGAUCAGCACGCCGCCGUGAAUACGUUCCCGGGCCUUGUACACACCGCCCGUCACAUCACGAAAGUGGAUUGUACUAGAAGUCUGCAGGCUGACCCGCAAGGGGGGCAGCGGCCCAAGGUAUGAUCCAUGAUUGGGGUGAAGU